rnacentral:lncRNA from 1 species
AGAAACGACACGCAGAUGGUGAAGAUGGACGGGAUCUGGAAUCGAUGCGCCGCGGCAAACAGGUCUUGCACGCUUGCCUCAUCCAGCGCGAUCUCUGAUGUGUACAGGUAGUGCAGCACCUGGGACACUACGUCUGGCGACACCUCCUCCAGGCGUACCUCUCCCGCGCUAUCUGGCUCAGCCAGGAAGCGCGCGCGGAAGUAGGGGCUACAGGCGGCUAGCACCAGGCGGUGGCACGGGAACUCGCGCUCACCCACGCGCACUACACAGUCUAGGAACUUGCCGUGGUCCAGCAUGUCCUUGAGGCCGUCUUGCAGGAGCGUCUGCUGGUACAGACGCUGUUCCUCCGCCUGCUCCAAGCCCAGCGUCAUGGUGCGGCUCCCUGGAACUCAGCAAGUCUGUGUAUCGAGGGCAGCCCUGCACACCUCUGCUGUCUUGUGGGGCUGUGCACUGACUGCGCAGCUGUCUGCCCUGGGCUAUAUAUAGAGGAUGCCCAGAACCUGUAAGAGGAGCUGCUGGCCUCCUGCACAUGACGCACAGAGGACAGCUGGGCAGAGGCUUUCUCUCUGAGCAGCCUUGAGUCAGCUAUGGGGGCUCAUGGGGCGAGGGUGGGGUGUGUCUGGGCCUUUCCAGAACUGGAAGGUCUCUCGACCCAGAACCCAGUUGCCUCUGGAUUCCUUAGUCUAGAAAUGCUGCUGCCUAUGAAGAGGGCUCAACUCCCUCUCCUUUCCACUGUCUUCCAGGCCUGAGUGCUCACAGCCUUCCUCACAGACCGUAUCUCAUGUGGCCACUCCUGGUUAUAGCAUGUUUGGGUGUCCUGCUUGGUGAACAUGUCUUUUUCCUUGGCAAUCACUCCUAAAAUGGGAAGGAGUUUCCUCUGCCCAAACUCAGAGACCUUCCUUUAAACAAACUCCUUAAGUCAAUAAGGGUAGCUGUUUCUCUGUUGGGCCUCAGUUUCCUCUCCCAUUCAAGGAGGGAGAGGAGCUAGAAUCCAAGGGUCUCAGCUCAACUCUGCUGAGGGCCAGAGACCCUGGGGUAGCAUGCUCCAGGUUAGGCUCAAAGGGGUCAAGCCUGCUAGAAAAUUAAUUUCCUAGGGUUCUACUAUUUGGGGGUGUUUAGACCUUCAAAUCUCUAAUAUUCUAGCAGUGUUCUGAAUGGUAGUGUCCAAAUGGUGGAACUUCAGGGACUCUCUCCCAUUGUCCUUGGUCCAUUUGAGGUUUACCAUGUUUCUACCUGGCCUUGGGGCCCCUGUCAUUGUCUGUCUGUCUGUGAUUUGAGGGUUUGAGGAGUUGAGCCAGGAUACCCAGUCUCAGCCCCCACCUUGCUCUGGACUCCUGUCCACCCCUCCACUCCCCAAAUCUGCACAUUGGCUUCAGACUCCAAGAAUAACGAAUUCUCCAAGUGCCAAAAGCUGCAGCUGUGGGUUAAAUUUAGCCCCGGGACACUGGUAGGAGGCAUAACGGGCGCUCCCCAACCAUGCCUCUGAGUCACUUGUUUAUAACCUUGGGCUUGUGGGGGGAUAGGAGAAAAUACCUAGUGGGGAGCAGGGGCAGGGGGAGAGGACUGAGUCACACGUCCCUUCUAUGAUUCCAGAAACAUUAUUGCCUGUCCUUCCUAAGUGGUGACGGUCACUCGGUCCUAGAGGGGCACAUAGCUGGACAGGCUCCAGAGGUGUGCUGCCCACCUUUCUGCAACGUCAAGGGCUAGCUUGGGGCAAGCUGGGAGGGUUUCCAUGUCAGUUCUGGACAGUGGGACAUUUCUAGGAAACAUUGCCAGCAAUUCGCUGGGUCACACGACUGCUACCUGCAUGAGCCAGAGCAGAUGUGCCCACUUCUGACGUCAUGGGGACCUCUCCCCAAGUGAACAAAAAAAUGUCUGUGAUCACAGCCUCACUUUCCAAGGACCUGAGCAGAAGACAGCGACUAGAAAUUAAUUCAUAACUGCCAGAUGACUUCAUGUCAUAUUUUGGGUUUAUGACGGAUUCUACAGCGCUCGUUCCCUAGCAGGAUUCCCAGCAGUAUGUUUAAAUGUGGCUUGUUCAUCCACUCAGAGCCUACUGUGUACUAGAGCUAACACAGAGUUUAGUGGCGUUUGAGUCAGUUGUGAAUACUGGCCCUGUGGAGCUUACGUCUGUUGCGGUGGGCAUCUCGGAGGGAGAGCAGCACAUCCGAACCUCUGUGGUACAGCAGGUGAUCCUGAGAGCUACAGACAGGGGAGCCAGGGGCAGCGACAGAUGACAACACAGCAGAACAGUGGAGUUGGUCCACCCCUGCCUCCAGUAGAAGACAACCCAGGCCUGCCUGUUCCUGACCCUACCUAGCAACAAGGCAGUGCAGGAAGGCUCAUUCCUGUCAUAAAGUAAUCCCACAUGCCUCACAAGUCCACGCAGGGACUGCUCAGGCUGAUGAAAUAGAAGCCCCACCAACAGCAAGCAUCCAAGGGGUGUAUUAACCUUGCACACUGGGCCUGACACUCAUUCUCCCACUCAGAGGCACCAAGGAGGUUGGCCCGGGGAAUGCUGAGUCCCAGGCCACACUGGUAGAGUAGGAUGAGAGGGGUCUGCACAGCCUCUGACAGUUGUACUGUCCUUUGAACUUGAGUUCGCAAAAACAGACCAGGGCCAGACUGGAGGGAGCUUAGACCAAAGGACUUGUCCCCGGACUGGGGAAAAAACAAUUUAACAAAGACCACGAGCAAGAAGCUUAAUCUGACCACUUCUUACAAUAAGAGACCAUAAAGACCACGAGGAGCAUUAAAUGCUAGAAUAGUCUGGAAAGGAUUUGAAAGCUACAAUCACAAAAUGUUUCAAUCUAUUAAAAGUUCUCUUAAAUUUCUCAGAGCAGAAACAUCUCACUGAAGAAAUAGAAGUGAUACAGGAAAGGCAAGUGGGAAUUAUAGACCUGAGAAGAUACCCCAACAAGGGAAAAAGCUUCCUGAGUGGCCCUGGUAAGUGGGAGAGAACAGCCCGGCAGUCAUGGCGCACACCAUGAUCCUAGCACUUAGAAGGCAGAGCCAGGAGGAUCUCUGUGUUCAAGGACAGCUUGGUCUACAGAGUGAGUUCCAGGACAGCCAGGGCUACACAGAGAAACUGUGUCUCGAAAUAAGCCAAGAAGCCAAAAAGCC